rnacentral:misc_RNA from 1 species
GAUGAAGAACGUAGCGAAAUGCGAUACGUAGUGUGAAUUGCAGAAAUACGUGAACCAUCGAAUCUUUGAACGCAAAUUGCGCUCGAGGCUUCGGCCAAGAGCAUGUCUGCCUCAGCGUCGCUUUAAACCCUCACACCAUACUCCCUUGUGGAGCAUGUUUGUGGAACUGGCUUUCCCAGCUUUCCUUAAACCGAAGGCUGGGUUUGCUGAAGAGCAGAGGUUGAUGCAUGGACCCGUUAUGGGCCUCAGCUGGGUAGGUAAUUUAUUACUAAUGCUUUAGCUGUUGGCUUGGAUCUGUGCUGUCGACCCUAACCAGGAAUUGAGAAAGCCUUACCGCUUUCUCAAACUCUUCUAAUUUCGCCCUGAGCUCAGGCAAGAACACCCGCUGAACUUAAGCAUAUCAAUAAGCGGAGGA